rnacentral:tRNA from 1 species
GCCCGGGUGGCUCAGUGGUUGAGCCACAACCCAUGAACCAGGAGGUCAGGGUUCGAUUCCCGGUCAGGGCA